rnacentral:lncRNA from 1 species
UGUUAUUGUAUUUGUAAAAUGGUGCAUCUUUGUUUGAAAAUUGCUUAAGUUUUUGAAAUGUCUACCCAUCCAGCAUGAUUAAUGCGAUACAUACAGUGGAGCAGCAGAGUGAGUGGAGAAUUAGAGUCGGUGCCAGUUCACCUAGAGGCAUUUAUCUUUUCUUUUUCCCUGGUGCCUGCGCUGAGCCUGAGGGUAAGCUGACACUUUUUUUUUUUAAUAAAUUAAGCUUCAUUUUCUGUUUUGCGUGUGUGCUAAGAACCUUGAAGGGAAUGAGCAAUGUCUGCAGCCUCCAACACCAGCUGCCAUGGCAGGAAAGGAAGAGAGGUAUGUUACAGGAGAUGCAUUUAGAGCCGUUGUUAUAG